rnacentral:rRNA from 1 species
GCAGCUGGAAACAGUAGCCAGGCGACUCUAAACCAUCUCGGCCUCAUGCAAGUCAGCGCGCCUAGCUGGCGACACUUUCGAAUUGACGGGGAACCCCUAAGAGCCCUUCACACCAAACCAGCGCGGGAAACCCGCUGGCGGCCCGUGGGAAACCACGGGGUACGGUAACAGAGGAAGGGAUGACUCGGGGCCGCGAGGCACCGACGAAAUGGGCGAUCCGCAGCGAAGCCCCUGCCGUUCGCGGCGGCCUCGGCCGUCCGACGUGGGGAACGUUCACAGACUAAGUGGAAGUGGGUGGGGCGUCGGCCCUGCUUAAGAUAUAGUCGGGCCCGGCUGGAAACAGUCGGGGAUCGUCAGCCGUUCCGUAGGUGAACCUGCGGAAGGAUCAUUACACGAAAAAGGCCCUCGCCGGUCUUUCAACCUUGCCUAUGGUACCCGUUUGUCGUUCCCUCGGUGGGCCCCUCGCGGCCCGCCGGCGGGAAGAUCCCGAAAACCUGUUGCAAUAAGCAUACAAAUCUAUCUGAUCAUGAACCCAAUCGUUACAACUUUCAACAAUGGAUCUCUUGGUUCUGGCAUCGAUGAAGAACGCAGCGAAAUGCGAUAAGUAGUGUGAAUUGCAGAAUUCAGUGAAUCAUCGAAUCUUUGAACGCACAUUGCGCCCCUUGGUAUUCCAUGGGGCAUGCCUGUUCGAGCGUCAUUCGCACCCUCAAGCUCUGCUUGGUGUUGGGCGUCUGUCCCGCGGAACGCGCGGACUCGCCCCAAAGGCAUUGGCAGCGGUCCCCGCCGGGGUUCCCCAACAGCGCAGCACUGUUCGCGCACCCGGGGACCGGCGCGGGUCCAGCGUCCACGAAGCCCGAUUGCAUCGCAACCUUGAC